rnacentral:tRNA from 1 species
GGAGAGGUGGCUGAGCGGCUUAAGGCAACGGUUUGCUAAACCGUCGUAGUGCGUAAAGCGCUACCGAGGGUUCAAAUCCCUCCCUCUCCGCCA